ACUCUAAAUUAGAGGUGGGCAAACUACGGCCUGCGGCCACAUCCGGACUGUGGGACCGUCCUGUCCUGCCCUUGAGCUCCUGGCCCGGGAGGCUAGCCCCCGGGCCCUUCCCUGCUGUCCCCCCUCCCCCGCAGCCUCAGCUCACUGCGUGGGGAGC